GCCAGACCGGUCUGGUGCAGUUACACAUCCCUACAGGGUCUGAUUUUACUGACUACGGGGGAGCUUGGGUAUUGUUUUUUUUAAGCUCCUCAGAUGAUUCUAACACUCAGCAGGGGCUGAGAGCCACGGAGUUACUUUCUGAGAAGGAGUAAAUAUCAGCAAAGAAAGAGAGACAGGAAAGGCACUUGGCAGCAGCCUGGUGAGUAAGGGGUCAGGCAGCACCAAGCAAGGUUGGAGGAUGAGCACAGUGAGGACCCACAGGGCCUAUCAACUGUGUUAAGAUAAACACCAAAUCCUGCGGCUGGGCAUGGUGGCUCACACCUGUAAUCCCAGCACUUUGUGAGGCUGAGGCGGGAGGAUCACCUGAGAUCGGGAAUUCGAGACCAGCCUGGCCAGCAUGGAGAAACCCCGUCUCUACUAAAAAUACAAAAUUAGCUGGGCGUGGUGGCACACGCCUGUAAUCUCAGCUACUUCGGAGGCUGAGGUAGAAGAAUCGCUUGAACCAGGGAGGCGGAGGUUGCGGUGAGCUGAGAUUGCGCCAUUGCACUCCAGCCUGGGCAACAAGAGCGAAACUCCGUCUCAAAAAAAAAAAAAAAAAAACCCUAGAAAGCCCCAGGAAGUCAAAGAAGGGCGUCAGUGCAGAGCAAUGCGCCAGCUCUUGGUUGCCGUAUUCCUGGUGCUACAAUAAAAGUUUGUUGACCAUGUGCACUCAGGUGGGAAUCAGAGGCUCAAGAGAAAAGCUAAAACCACCUGGAAGCUAAGCCUUGUCUAACCAAAUCUAUUGAGUCUCCCUCCAGCUAACUGAGGGGUCAGAUGCCACUCAUUUCUGUUUGGGAACAGUCAUUUGCUUUAACUCUCAGCCUCUUGCUGCAGCCAUGCUGCCUUCCCCUCAGUGUCCUCCUUCCUGCCACAGUAAGUCACUCUGGAGUGCCACGCUCCACUUAAAAAUAAACACCUUCUGUCUCCAUCCUGGCACAGUUUCAGCUUAUUUAGCAUUCUAACAUAUGUCGUCUGUUUUCCCAAACAAUCUAACAUGAGCAUAGCACGAUGGGGUUGAUAAUUUGGGCAAAUGAGAAACAGCCUGCCAUCAGCACAGACACAGUGACAUUUGAUUUGCUAUCGGUAGAUUCCAUUGUGUUCUCUCUUCUCAUCCUUGGAUGAUAAACACAGAAAAAGACUGCAAGAUUUCCAGCCCUGGCUCUGUGGCAGAGAAUAAGGUCUGGAGGCAGGGAACCUAAGGCUGCUUCAGGCUGACUUCUUAGAACUAAGUUGAAAGGAAAACCUUAACCUUCCAUGCCUAAGUAACAAAAGGACCACAGGCUACUCCCUUUGACCUUUUCUCCAGGGCAAAUGGGAAAUUGGCUGUUCUGCAACAAAUCAGACUGAUUACCGGUCAAGUCUUCGUUUGCAACUUUGCAACUUCUCUCCAGCCUCUGAAAGGUUACUGUCCACAACCCAUCAGACUGAUUGCAGGCCGAGUCUUCAUUUGCAUAGAAGUAUAACUUUGUAGCUUCAUCCUAGCCUGUGACUGCUCCUUUAGGAACCAAUCAGAUGUUUGCACAGGAGGGUGACCUUUGUAACUUCUCUUCAGCCUCUGGUUGGCUGCUUUCUGCAACCAAUCAGAUUGAUUGUGGGCUACCACUUCACUUACCUGAGAUGAGCAAGAAGUGGCCAAUGGGAAACUUCUAGGGGGUAUCUAGACCCAAGAAGAUUCUGUAUCUGGGCUCUUGAGCCACUGCGGCUCAGUCCACUCCCACACUGUGGAGUGUACUUUCAUUUUCAAUAAAUCCCUGCUUUCGUUCUUUUGUUGCUUCAUUCUUUCUUUACUUUGCUGGGCAUUUUGUCCAGUUCUUCGUUCAAAACACCAAGAACCUGGACAGCUUGCAGUUAUGACCCUCUACCGGUGACGUAUCUUGGCAAGCCAGCCAGGAGGAAAGUGCCUAAGCAUGGAGACAACUGCAACUUUCUGGCCAGCGCCACUCUGGUGAAACUGAAAGGUUUCCACAUGGAAGCGCCUUACUGCCGCCGCCCAGUUCGGUCUUUCAGCAGCUGUUUCCUAGUGGCUCCUUGGUAAUUGAGAGGAACUGGCCAGGGCCGCUCUCCAGUGAUCUCUGAAGUCCAGGGAGUGAACAGGGAUGGCUGCCCUGCCUGGAAGGGGGAAAGACACUUUACUAUCCUUUCCAGUUAUCCUUUCACAACUGCAUGUGACGCAGUUGGCAGCGGCAGCUCGUCCAGGGCAAAUUCACACACGUUUCAGGUGACUUAAACUCCUUCUUUUCUUAUGCUAAAUUCUUCCCUAAUCGUACUCAACUGGCUAAGGAACAAAACGGCCCACCCAGCAUCCAGUUCUUAUUACAGAUCAUGAUUAUUUUUUAUAAAGCUCACAGUAUGCUCUGGAGAGGAAAACCUGCAUGUGGCGCCCCCUCCUAAGGCCAGAGACGUCUGGAACUCUUAAGAUUGGACCCCGCAGGAGGACGUUCUUUGGGUUCUACGGACCUCAAACUCUCCAAAGGGGAUGCCCUUGGCAGAGGUUCAGAGGUCUAGUAUUAAGUCCUCCUUAGAAUUUCCUCUCGGAGUUGAAAUGCUGCUUGGACCGAAAAGUGUCUAGAAUCUGAAGUUUACUGUCUAAUGGAAAAGUGGGAUGGUAUUGCAUAAAUACAGGUCUUAUAGGAGUUAUUAAGAAGUUAUUUUAGGCAGAUAGAGAGGAAAAGGGGUCCUUGGGAAGUUUUUCUUUUAAAGCAGCUCCAGAAACCUUUCUUGUCUAGCAGGAAAGGCCCGGCUCUUAGAUCCCGCCGACAAGCUUUGAUAUCCAAAUCCCGGCCAUUAGAAACUGGGUCCACCCAAACAUGGUGAUUCCCGCUGUCUUCUUGCCAUUGCCCCGACUUGGGCCUGGAAACAUGGCCACCCCCACAUAUCCACAGGUGUGUAGGACACCAUGGCGCCCUGUAUUCGCAUAUUAAAAGGUUAGGGUGGGAGGGCCAGGUUUUUGCGGGCCACGUGAGUGAUAUGCCUGGUCAAACCAAUCCCCUGAGCCCUAUGCAAAUCAGGCACCACCUCCUCCAGCCUCCUCAUAUAAGCAGCCACUUUUCCCACCACACGGGUUUUCUCUUUGUUCGAAUCCCCUCUCCCUCUGUCUCUGUACAGGGAGGCUGUUUUCUUCCUUCUUUCUUGCCUAUUAAACACUCCACUCCUUAAAACCACUCCACGUGCGUCCAUGUCGUUUUAUCCAAUUUGGUGCAAGAUUAAGGACCCUGGUGUACCUCCAUUCAUUGGAGACUUAUCACAGGCUUUUGUGCUGCCGUUCUAAGCAGGGGCCUGGUUAACGUGUGAUGCCUUGCUUUGGUACUGUUUGGCCCCAGUGCUCCUUGGAGUCUGGGGAGGUUUAGCCUUUAAAAUUCAAACUGCCAAGGAGACUGCUUUAUCCAAAAUUUUGGUUCACAGCCUUCCUUGGAUUAUCUAUUGGGGCAAAGUAAAACCGGCAAGCUUGUACUGCUAUCUCAUGGCUAAGGUUCCGAGCUGUUGGAUCUUUGUUUAUGUGUGUGUAUACAUGUCUAGAUGUGUUUAUACAACAAAUGUACACUUAUUGUUGUAUAUUGUGUCUACAAAAUUGGCUUAUAAGUGAAAGAGCGCUCAUGAAAACUGAGUAAGUCUAAGCAAUUUUCAAGUUCAUGUGACUUAAAGUAUAACUUUACUAAACGAGCUAGCUUUAAAAUUAUUGGUGGAAUAAAAAUAGAAAUGUUUUCAGAAUUGUCAACAUACAUUUUGGCUGAAUUUUAUGUUUUUCUGUGCUAGAUAUUUUAAAAUGUCAGUGUUAAUUCAAGCUGGAAGCUGCUUAGGGCAAAUCUGCCUCCCAUUCUAUUCAAAGUCUCACUGAGAUAAAUACAUAACUAAUUGCUUCCUUUGGAAAGGCUAAUAAGAAACUCAAAAGAAUGCAACCCUCUGUCUCCCACCUGUGAUUGGAAAGCCCCCAGCCUCCUCGCCUCGAGUUGUCCCGCCUUCUGGGACCAAAUCAAUGUUUGUUUUACAUAUGUUAUUUGAUGUUACAUGUCUCCUUUGUUAAAAGUCAAAAUUAAGUACAGUGAGUGGGAUAAAUGUUUUAGGUAAACUUUUUGUGUAAAUUAAAAUCUUAGAGCUAUUUUUAACACCCAUUUGAUAUCUGGGCCAUUUCCAAUUGAGAAAGUGUUGUAAUAUGAGGAAAUAUGUUUCAAAAAUUAUGGAAUUCAUAAUUCCAUCUAUUUUUCUUAUCUGAAAAUGCCCAUAUCUGAUAGUUCUUAUCUAUAAAUGCCCAUAUCUGAUGGUUCAGGAUUUCUUGCUUUUUGGAGUUUCACUAAAGUUUUAGGUUACUAAGGAUAAAAUUCUAGUUAACAUGUAAUUCUGUACACAAAAUGUGCCGGAAAGGGUUAUUUUAUUAGAAAAAAAAGAAUAAUAAUUUUGUCUAAUCCAGAAGUUAUCUAAAAGUUAGUUCAAAUUACAGAUUUGAAAAAGUUAUUUAUGAAACAAUGUAGUAAGGACUCAUUAAGUAGGGGAGAAAAGUGUGGAAAAAGUUAAAUAAUAAAAUGUUCUUUCAAACCUGGAAACCUUGGAGACAUUUGGCUAAUUAACACUUUCAUAGUUAAAGCCCUUAGUAUUAAUUAAAGUAAAAUAAGAAGUAUUGUAAAAAUGCAUUGGCAGUUUGAUAAUUCUUUUUUAUAAUAUAGUUAAGCAUGAAACUAAAUUUAGUGUGGAGCCAAAUUUCACAUACAUGUUUGCGUUGUUUCACACUGUUUACUGUUUUGCAUGGAUAGUGCUAGAGUACUUAUUGGUCAUGUGCCUUAAGUGGAUUUCUUGAUUGCACAGAAUGUGAUAUUGGUAAACUUAAGGAUAUUGAAUUGUGUAUGGGGAAUAAAAUAUUCAUUAUGUGGGUUUUUUAGGGCCCGGGAUAACACUGCAGCCUCCAGGGUAAACUGAGUAUAAAAAUUUACACCUGGUUUCCUGCUUAUUUGUUUUGGCUUCUAGUUUUCAUUUCUUUGCUGUUUAUUCUCCUGUGGCUUUGCUUGUAUCCAUAUAUAUAAAUAAAUGAUGUUUUCCAGUUCCUAGUGGAAGGUUUUAUUUAGUUUUGUGAUCCUAUGCACUUCUUGCAAGUCCUCAUUCAUUUCAUUUAUCUGGAAUUCCUAAGCUACCUUUGUUGGGCCUGCAGAAAUUAACGGAGCACACCAGCUUUUUUUUUUUGUUUUUUUUUUUGAGAUGGAGUCUCGCUCUGUCACCAGGCUGGAGUAGUGCAGUGGUGCAAUCUCGGCUCACUGCAACCUUCACUUGCCAGGUUCAAGCGAUUCUCCCACCUCAGCCUCCUGAGUAGCUGGGAUUACAGGCGUGCGCCACCAUGCCCAGCUAAUUUUUGUAUUUUUAGUAGAGACAGGGUUUCACCAUGUUGGCCAGGGUGGUCUCGAUCUCUUGACCUCGUGAUCUGCCCGCCUCAGCUUCCCAAAGUGCUGGGAUUACAGGCGUGAGCCACCGCGCCCGGCCCAUGCCAGCUUUUUAUCCUUUAACUAACUUUUUGAAUUUUAGGGUUCCUGAUAGUUUAAGUGUGUUGAGUAUACUCUCACAA
rnacentral:lncRNA from 10 species